AACAACUGAAUCUUUUGGAACUGCGAUAUCAUCAGUACUAUUUUAGGGAGUUAUAUCGAAUGGGUUGUUAUGGUUACUCAUAAAGAAGCAACCAUAUAAACACAGAAUUCAAAAUAUACUAAUAUAAGUAUUUUAGAACAUGAAAUUAAAAUAAAAAUAAAAACAAAAGGAAAAGAAAAACAAAGUAAAAUAAAUGGACUCAAAAGUUCUCAUCGGCAUCUGGAUGGUGAGGUGGUGGUGCUAGAGGCGAAAU
rnacentral:lncRNA from 1 species